rfam:Eubacterium sp. 3_1_31 genomic scaffold supercont1.1, whole genome shotgun sequence.
GCUAACUGAUAUUCCGAGGAGUGGAAUGAUGGGGUAACGCCCUGAAACGCUCCCCUUGAUACUACGACGUGCAAAGGCGGUGUAAAACGCUGUAUGUGCGAAGCUCGUUGAAGUCGGCAGAGAGGCACCGAAACAUUAAGUUGUCGAAAGCUGUCCAGAGGUGGAUGGUGUGUCCUAUAUGCCGGAGGUCUAUAAA